CUUUCAGUCUGAUGUUUGCUGC
rnacentral:miRNA from 1 species